rnacentral:lncRNA from 1 species
UUUCUCUUAAUUACUUACCGUGACCCAGUCGUGGGGGUUUCGCCAGCCGGCUUCACCGUUUACGAUGGCACUGCCAAACGAUGUAAAACUUUGGAUUAAACCAUUUAAAAAAAAUUAAGCAAAAUAGAAAACUCACCUUUUUUAAACAUUCACUGUCGCCGUCGGAGCAUGUGCCAGUGUAUGUUCUUUCCCCAGUGAUGUGUCCCAAUGCGCUGGUCCAUUUGGGAGAGCUCCGGCGUGCCAGGACCCUCCAGUUGCCUUAAUCCUGCUGGUUAUGUCGGGCAUUUCUUCCCCCUUGCAGUUUAAGUUGUUGAUGUGUGCAGAGGGUCCCUGGUUCGAGCCCGGGGUUGGGGCGAUGAGAGGGACGGAACCUACACUGUUACAUUGGUGCCGUGACCCGGAUCAUUGGUUGCUGCGGAAAAGGAGGAGGUCAAAAGAUCACUUUCAGGUCUUCAGAGGCCAAUGUGCUUUGUGGAGAUAGAAUAACACCACGUGUGUUCAGCCAGAGAUGGAUUAUAAUGUUGCAACAGGCUUUGACCACUCUGACUGCAGUAGUCUACAUAAGCAGAGCCACAGCUAUUGAUCUGGGAAUCAGUCAGUCUGACGGUCUGUUCUGGUCUGUCUGGUGAGAAGAUGAGAAGCCAGACAGGAACACAGAGAGUGAGGACAAGUGU